rnacentral:lncRNA from 1 species
GCAGCUGGAGCUCCUUGUCCAGGGCCCUGUUGUGGGGACAAAGGCACGAAUCAAUGCAUUCUCGGUUCUUUUGUCCUAAAUAAUUGGCUUCCAUUAAGUGGGCUGGACGAGUGAGGCACUCACAGGAACAGGAGCCUGGAACUUAUGAAAAUGGAUCUGAGGGAGGAGCCAGGAGGAGCAGCUCUGAGGGGCCCCCAGGGGUCCACCCUCCCACCGCCACCUUGGGAAGGGGUCUCGACCUCUCUGGGCUUAGUUUCCGCCUCUGCAGACAGAGUGGGGGCGAGGGGACUGCUGGCUGGGGGUUUUCAAAUUGCACUUGGCAAAGCCCUGGGGGUCCACGGGUCUGGUGCGGAGCAGGACUCCGGACAGACCCUCCAGAACUCAGCUGGAGCAGCCCCUUCUCUCUACCUGUUUCACGUAUUGGGCUGUUUCUUUCCAUUUUAAUUUGAGCAAAAGACACCCAGCCAAAAAAAAAAAAAGCAUUUGAAACCACUAGACAGGGGAUAGUUAGGGUCCAUCCCAGCUCUAGAACUUUCCAGAUCCCACCUUGAGGUUUGGGGGUCUUAGAACAGAGGAGUGGCCCGUCUGUCAUUGAGGGAGGCUUGGUCCAGGUGGCCUGACCUACUGUGGCCACGCUCUGUGACCUUGAGCCAGCCUUGCCUCUGAGCCGCACUCCCUGCAUCGGAGAAAAGAGGAAGUGACGAGUCGGGUGGUGACUGCAGUGACAACCGUAAUCGCCGACCUUUCCAGGUACCUACAACCACACUCCAGUUGCCGCGAAGAAACACACCUGUCCUUGCUCUCAUGGAACUUACAGUCUGCUUGGAAACAAAGAAUGAAAGUCGUAAAUCAGUAAAACAGGAAGAUCAAGCUGGGAAGGGGACUGGUGGGAGAAGUUUGAGCAUAUUUUUAGGCUGUUGAGAAUGAUCCUGGAAAGGGGAUAAAAUUACUGAUGCCGGAGAGAGAAGACCUGCUGGUGCGAAGUGUUUGUGUGGGUGAAAGGGGCCGGCAUCGAAGCUCAGAUGGACACGGCUUAAAUAGGCUACAAAGAAAGAAACUGAGGCCCAGAGAGGUGAAGUGACCUCCCCUGGGACCCACAGGCUCCUGCUUGAAGAAACAGGGCGGUGGCCCCCAGUGUUGGCUUGGGAGUGAGGUCCUGUGAGGCUG